GUCCUGGUUGGUCAUGGCGAUCAGUCCUCUUUGCAUUCAUAACUGCAGUUAAUGCAAUUAAAAUGAGGACGGCGGAGGUUCGAUUCCUUCCCAGGACA